rnacentral:tRNA from 1 species
AGCGGCGUGGUCGACGGCGAUCGUCAGGCUGCGCUGUCGUCGCUGCACCGGCGGGUCGACCGGUCCGUCGGCGCCGGUUUGAAGCUCGGCUGCGCCUAC